rnacentral:lncRNA from 1 species
AGUCAAACCUUUGUACCCUUGCACCAUUCAGUAGUCAGUGAGGGAGGGGAUAUAAGGGAUAUAACCUUAGGUUAGGCAGUUCUCUUUGAGGAAAGCUUUUGGUCGCGGGGGUUUUCAACUGUGAGCCAUCGGGAGGCUAAGUCUUAGCAGCUAAGAGGAAUGAGUUCUUUGAUCCUGAAUAUAGAGGCAAAAUAUUGCUUCAGUAUACUGAUUCUAAGCAGGUAGAUGGCUGACCACAAAGAGAUACUUGGAGGAAGUGUGAGCCUAAUAGACCAUUCUAACUUCCAGGUAUAUCUUUGUCAGCAGCAUGAAAAUGGACUAAUACAGUCACAAACACAUAGAACUUAGCAAUUGAUGAAACUUACACAUACAGAAUAUCACUCGUUUGCCUGAGGAAAAUUCACAUCUUAAUUACUUUGAGGAAAUCUCCAAGUGCACUGACAUUAUCAAUAGGUCAGUACAGGUCAUUCCUUGCUACCUGUAGAAAUGGACGCCCACCGUACCUGAUGCCAAUGAAACACAACUGUGGCACUCAAUGCUGGAGACCUGUGAUGCUUUUGUGAAUAGAGAGGCAGAUGGAUCCCUCUGCUUAUGCUACAAUAAAUCUGCUCGUAUACAAAAGUAUACAGAGGGUAGUGAGGCACCUCUAUCAUUUCACAUACAUUCAGUCCCAUCCUCAGAAAGCACAACUAUCUUCAGUAUAGCUAGGCUAGCUUGACCUGUGGCUUGUCCUCCAUUUCCAUAGUUGGCAAAUGUUAGACCUGUGUAUACCACCAGCAAGUCUCCUUCUUCCCUAUUGGGAAGUUCCACCUCUAGGGAGAUUCUCAUUAUCCUUCCAGCAAUCUGGUUUCCUUUAUUGCCCUGCCAGUCCAUCAGACGUAUGUGAAUAUGGCAGAAGAUGAAUGGAGAACAGGGACUAUGUGUCCCCUGCAGCAAACUUCUCAGCCCCUUUGCAAAUUAGUGGUUACAAAUGGGGAGGAUGGAGUUUGUACAACUUCAUCAGCAUUGGAGCUCUCUCUUUCACCCAUCUAAGACAAGUUGUUACUUACAUUCACAUCACUUCUGUGAAGUUUGAAGGGAUUCUAAAAGAAUCAAUUUAAAAUAAAAAUGAACAGUUAAAUAACUUGUCCAAAAGCACAUAGCACAUGAGUGAACGUGAUGAGCUUUAAAUCUAGAUAUAACUGACUUCAGACGUAUAUUCUUUAUAUAACAACUUUAUUGAGGUGUACUUGUGCAAUACACUGCACAUACUUAGUGUGUACAUUUUUGUAAGUUUUGGUAUGCUAUACACCCAUGAAAUUAUCACCACAGGAAAAUAAGCAUAUAUAUAUAUAUAUAUAAAACAAAAGUUCCCUCAUGUCUUUCUUUCUGCCCCUCCCUGACCACCACCCUCUGCAUCUCAGGCAACUAUUCAUCUAUUUUCUGUCUAUUGAUUAGUUUGCAUUUCCUAGAAUUUUAUAACAAUGAACAUUCAUAGCACACACUUUUUCCCUCAAUUUCUCUCAUUUAGCAUGAUUGAGAUUAUGUUGUUUGUAUACAAACAGUUCAUUCCAUUUAUUGCAUAACAGGGUUCCAUUAUACUGAUAUGACUAUUUAUUCAUUCACCAAUUAAUGAAUAUUUGGGUUGUUUCCAGUUUGGAACCAUUGCAAAUAAAGCUCCUAUAAUCAUUAAAGUGCAAAAUGCAAUCUUCAUUUGAAGAUAAUAUGCUUUUAUUUCUCUUGGAUAACACAGUGGGUGUAUGUUUAAUUUCUUAAGAAACUGCAACACUGUUUUUCAAUGUGGUUCUACCAUUCUACAUUCACACCAGCAGUGUUGAGAAUUCUAAUUCCUCUACAUCUCAACCAAUACUUG